CGAUACCCACAAACCCACUCUGAAUCCUCUCUCUCUAUUUCUCUACCCUUCUCCCCAAAACCCAACUCUACAUACAAACCUGACUCUGAAUCGUUUCUCUCUAUUUCUUUACCCUUCUCCCCAAAACCCAACUCUGAAAAUCAAUCCCAAACGCCAUCUUCUUCUCCUCUCUCUUCUCUAAAACCGAUGCUACUUCCCUAAAAUCAAAUUUAAUCAUCAAUCUGUAUCUCCAAAGCAAACCCUAUACCUAAGGCAGCCAACGUGCUAGACCUAUGCAGGAGUUUCCUUGGUCUCCACUCUCAACCUUUUUUCUCCAUGGACGGAUUCAGCCACAGAGCCGAUUAGUUUCAGGUAAUGAUGAUGAUGCCAAUUACUCAGUCCCAACGCCAAGUGAAUCCUAGCAGAGAUGUGGUUGCCUUUUCGGUUGUCACCGUUGGCAUCACCAGGAAUGGAAUGGAAUUGGCAUCGAGACUAUGAUCGUGUGCGAAGGUAUGCAGUCAAUCGAUAAUUUUGAUAGAGGAAUUAGACACAUUUUUGGACAGAUGGAUACAAGAAGAGAGAAGUUUUGACGCUAAGGUUGACAGUCAUAAGUGGAGAGAUUCCUAAUCCAAUUAAGUUUCCAAUAUAUAUUCUCUUCGGAUUUGCUGAUUUUUCAUACUCUACAUUGUUUUUGGGCAGUACUGGUAAGUGAUAGGUAUUUGGCAUUUUGUUAUCUGGGUUAUUUGGAAUUGUGGAUCUUUAUCUGUGUAAGACUCUUAAUAUGAUAGCAAGAUGAGAAAAGCCAGGCUUACAUCAGUGGUAUUUCAAAUGAAUGUGACAACAACUUAUCAAGUGAACAAGAUGGUGAUUCUACAAAGUUUCAAAAAGUUGAUGUUGAAAGCAAUGUACAACUUAUACGAACAUUUGUAAUCAAGGAAAAUAAAAGGAGUUAUUCAGUGACUACUGUGAAGCAACAAAGGAAGAAAAUACAAAUAAUACUUUAAAGUUGUCUUUCAAUUUAUUUCAAAUAUUAAUUAAGUAGUUUUUUAAAUUUGUGUUUUAUAUAUUUAUUGGAUAAUUGAGGAUGUUAAA